GUGGGGAAUAUUGCGCAAUGGGCGAAAGCCUGACGCAGCGACGCCGCGUGAGGGAUGAAGGUUUUCGGAUCGUAAACCUCUGUCAGAAGGGAAGAAACUACAUUGUGCUAAUCAGCAGUGUACUGACGGUACCUUCAAAGGAAGCACCGGCUAACUCCGUGCCAGCAGCCGCGGUAAUACGGAGGGUGCAAGCGUUAAUCGGAAUUACUGGGCGUAAAGCGCACGUAGGCUGUAGUGUAAGUCAGGGGUGAAAUCCCACGGCUCAACCGUGGAACUGCCUUUGAUACUGCACAACUUGAAUCCGGGAGAGGGUGGCGGAAUUCCAGGUGUAGGAGUGAAAUCCGUAGAUAUCUGGAGGAACAUCAGUGGCGAAGGCGGCCACCUGGACAAAGACUGACGCUCAGGUGCGAAAGCGUGGGGAGCAAACAGGAUUAGAAACCCGAGUAGUCC
rnacentral:rRNA from 1 species